rnacentral:lncRNA from 12 species
UGAGAUCAUGAUCUGAGCCAAAGUCAAGAGUUGAAUGCUUAACUGACUAAGCCACCCAGGCGCCUCCAGUAAAGCUUUUUCUAUAACGCACUCCCAGCGCUUAUCAUAGAAUUGGGAGCAACUUCAAGACUCUGCAGUGUUAACUGGGGUGUUUUGGCCACUUUGCUGUAACUUUCACACUUUCAAAAAUUGGGAAGGACAAAGGG